rnacentral:siRNA from 1 species
GGGUAAAGCCAAUGAUUAGA